rnacentral:misc_RNA from 1 species
AACGCACAUUGCGCUCCCUGGUAUUCCGGGGAGCAUGCCCGUUUCAGAAUCAUUGAAAUCUCACAAGCCCUGGUUUACGCUCGCGGAAACCGGGGGGAAGUGGAUGUGGGUGCACUUGCAAGCCUGGCUUGCGAUGCAUCUAUAAGUGAUUGUGACGUGCGCCAAUUGUCGUGUCAACUGGUCGUCCGAAGCGCAACAGAUUCAUCUAUUCGUUUUGGUCAUCAGCUGGCUGACUUGGAGGCAUGGGACUCAACUUGUCAACCGGGGCCCUGCAGUUUGCAGAGCUCGCUGAUAACUUGGUCUGAAAUCGGGCAAGAAAACCCGCUGAACUUAA